rfam:Schistosoma rodhaini strain Burundi genome assembly, scaffold: SROB_scaffold0005903
AUCGUGUUGAGGAGUCCCAUAAUAGGACGAAACGGCCGUCCAGUGU